CUUUUUUUAACAUUUCAAUUAUACAUAUUAAUUAAGUAUGAUGUAAUAACAGUGUCUUUGUAUUUUGUUGUACAAUUUUAUAUAAGAGUUAAAAUUAGCUUCAGAUUUAGAUGAUAGCGUAUACAUUUUUUUAAUGUGUGCUAAAUUUCAAAAUGAAUAAGUUAAGGGGGUGUGGUAUGUAUUGAAAAUGAGUAAAAUAUCAGUCUGAAAAACAAAGGACCCGGAUGUAAAUAAAUAUAGGUUAUCGUACAGCUUUCAACAAUGAGCUUAGCAAUCCUCACAGGAUCAUACAGUAGAGUUAUCUGUAAAAGACUCCGCAUGACAAAUUUAAAAAAAAAAAAAAAAAAAAAGCUUGAUUUAUGCUAAGUACUAAAAAAACAAAAACAUUUAUGAUAGGCAACAAAUCAUGUAUUCCAAAAGCUAGACACGUCACAAACUAGAAUACCACAUAUAUGAUUUAUUCAUCACAUCAACUAGAUUCCAAUUUGUAUAAUAAAUACUGACACACCUUGAAUAGAACAAGACAACCAGCACGUUUCGUGAUUCAAAGCCCUGUGAGACAAAACUGCUCAGAUAUAAAAUUAAAGUAAUUAAAAAUGUAUAUAUUUCUUAACAGGUGUUAACUUGACUGUUUUGUCUUUUCGGAUAUAGGAGUACCUUAAAUUACGUCAUACGAGAAAAUAGGAUCCGAGGAAAAGCAAUUAAGAUUAAACAAGACCGUUUGGAGUACACCGAAAUAUUUCCUUACUAUGUGAUGCAGUUAAUAUAGGUUUGUUAGUACUUAACAAUUAACACCCCCCCUCCCACCAUUCAAAUUAUGGAACCGAAAAGGAGGCGUUUAAAACGAACAGAAAAAAUCAAACCAGAAAAUUCAUCUCAUUCACCUUAUAUUAUAGAAAAAAUUAAAGUAAAAAAAAAAAACUCCGAGAAAAAAUUCUAAACGGAAAGUCCCUCAGCAAAUGGUAAAAUCAAAA
rnacentral:lncRNA from 1 species